rnacentral:misc_RNA from 1 species
AUAUUGAAAGUGAAAACUUCUGUAGACGGAAUAAAUUCAAUUAGCUAAAUUCGUUUUAAGCAGAUUCUUUAGCAGCCAGUAAAAAUAAACAAACAUAAAUCAUGUGCGGCGGUUUCACCUGCUCGAAAAACGCGCUAAUUGCGCUCAACAUUUUGUAUGUGAUGAUUGGAUUCCUGCUGAUUGGAGUGGGCGUGUACGCGCGUGCCGCCUCCAUCGUGACCAACCUGCCGAUUGUGGGCGGGAUCCUGGCCUGCGGUGUCAUCCUCAUAUGCAUUUCCAUGCUGGGACUGGCCGGAGCCGUCAAGCACCACCAAGUGAUGCUCUUCUUCUACAUGAUCAUUCUGUUCAUGCUGUUCCUGAUCCAGUUCUCCAUCGCCAGUUCCUGCUUGGCUGUCAAUUCCGAGCAGCAGCAGCAGUUCGCCGAGCAAGGAUGGAUGACGGUGCCCACGGAUUUGCGCAAACAGGUGCAGGACAGCCUGAAGUGCUGCGGAUUUAAUGCCACCGCACCGAGCACUACUUCCGUGGUUCCCCCGCCCAAUGAGCCCUCAUGCGAGCUGAUCAAUCAACAGUGCUGUGCCCACUCUUCCGAGCCGGACUGUCGUUGCGAACCCUGUGGACCCCUACUGGAGGACAAGAUCGACUAUGCAUUCAAGUUGUGCGGCGGUCUUGGCAUCUUCUUCAGCUUCACUGAGUUCGUCGGCGUCUGGCUAACAGUUCGCUAUCGCAAUCAAAAGGAUCCGCGGGGCUUGCCCAGCGCUUUUCUCUAAAUUAGAAGCUAGUCGAGAGAAAGAUAAACAUUUUCCAGAUACAGAAACAUUCAAAAAUUCUUUAGUGCAUGUAUAUCUGCUCUGUCUCUGCUAAAUGUUUAAUGUUGCGAUGAAAGAUUUCAUGGCCCUUGGGGCUGACAUACCAUACAUAUACAAGCAUCCUUUAUAUUUAUACCAUCUACAGAUACAUAUAUACAUACAUAUAUAUUAAAUCACAUUGCCGCAGAACUAUGUACGUAAUGUGUUAGUUCGUAAUUGAUAUACAACUUUAGACAUAUAUACAUAUUAUAGAGAGAUAUAUAUAGAAGGAGAGAGCAAAGCGUUUAACCCAAAAAGCAAGCAAUCAGCUAAGAAACAUAUUUCCCUUUACUCUCAACACACUUUCUUUAACACUUUCGACAAAAAUUGUACUAACACCCGACUGCCUACUCUUUGACUAAGCAAAAAACCAACAAGAGACCAAGGGUCCUGGCUGUUUUCCUGGCGCGUCGCUACCGCAACCAACAUGAUCCUUGCUACCUGCCCGCACGCGCCGUCUUUCCGCACGAUUAUUUAUAU